rnacentral:rRNA from 1 species
UACGGAGGGGGCUAGAGUUGUUCGGAAUUACUGGGCGUAAAGCGCGCGUAGGCGGACCUGCAAGUCGGGGGUGAAAGCCCGAGGCUCAACCUCGGAACUGCCUUCGAUACUGCGGGUCUAGAGUCCGGGAGAGGUGAGUGGAAUUCCUAGUGUAGAGGUGAAAUUCGUAGAUAUUAGGAAGAACACCAGUGGCGAAGGCGGCUCACUGGCCCGGUACUGACGCUGAGGUGCGAAAGCGUGGGGAGCAAACAGG